rnacentral:rRNA from 1 species
UACAGAGGUCCCAAGCGUUGUUCGGAUUCAUUGGGCGUAAAGGGUGCGUAGGCGGUGCCGUAAGUCGGAUGUGAAAUCCCGGGGCUCAACCCCGGAACUGCACUCGAUACUGCGGUGCUCGAGGACUGGAGAGGAGACUGGAAUUCACGGUGUAGCAGUGAAAUGCGUAGAUAUCGUGAGGAAGGCCAGUGGCGAAGGCGGGUCUCUGGACAGUUCCUGACGCUGAGGCACGAAGGCUGGGGGAGCAAACGGG